AACCUCAGAUCAGGCGGGAUCNCCCGCUGAAUUUAAGCAUAUCAAUAAGCG
rnacentral:rRNA from 1 species